ensembl:lncRNA
AUGACUCAUAAGCUAUCACUUCUGCAAGGAAAAUCAAGGACGGACACACAUUUCAGCAGAAGAGCACAAAUACACAUGUACACGCAACAGGAUGGGCCUCUCUCCAUCAGUUUACCCCCACCCUGUGUGUCAGAGGGUCUAGCCGGUCUGGAGAACAGAUGUCAAGUGUCUUUCCAUCUCCUUUGCUACCAACACAGCAAUGUGCUGCUCCAAGAAAACAUCUGUCUAAGCAUUGACCAUCAGCAGAGGGGCCCCAUGAAUUGGCUCAUCCGCCCUUUGAAACUCACAAGACUGUGUGCCACUCUAUUCUGAGCCUUGCCAGAUUCCUCUCCCUUUUACUUCUUGCUCAACAGCACUAAAUGAGAUCAUUUUGAAAUGUUACAGAGAUGUGAAGUGUACAAAACUUUAGCUCUGCAUACCACCUUUUCAUCGAUGCAGAUUUGUACGCUUAAUCAGAAGGUAGACAGUCCAAACAAACAUCUUUCAAAGUUCAAGUAUUCUUGAAAAAACACAGACCCCUUUGAACCACGCAAUACACAAGUUCAGGACGAGAGCUACAACAUUUGUCGCACUUUUUUGAUGUGGGCUCUCAGACGACCCAUGAAGAACAAACAAAUGCAAAUCAUGACGCACCUCGUCCCCUCUGUCCUCACAUUCCUGAAAGUGUGAAAUUUGGAGGAGGUAAAGAAAGCCUAAUAUUGUUGCAUCACCUUUCAACAUAGAAUCUACAAUAAGUUCAUUAGCACUAUAAUCACUCAAACAAAGGCAAAGCCAAUAGGACUUUACAAACUGACCCAUUAAUCACUUUUAAUUAGUGUUUUAAAUUGAAUUAAUCACUCUUAAAUCACUCAAGUAUUUAGAAGAAAUGAUUUAGAGUUGAGCAGGUUUUGAGUUAGAGCUCUAAUUUCAAAAUGCAUGUUUUAUCUAGCAGCAUUUAUUAAUAUUAAUAUUAAAGAGUUUGCUCAAAAUUGCCUUAAUUUUUUUUUUUUUUUUUUUUUUUUGUGAAUUGUGUCCUCCAUAGAUUCCAAGCUUUUUAUUUUUACAUUAAACUUGUUAUCAGUUGAAUGGAUUUUCAAAAUUGUCACAGUAAAUCAACAUAGGGCAGAUAAAGACGUUUAGUACGUGUUCAGCUGAUGAGUGCACUAGUGUAAUGGGACACGAAGGGUUAAAUCGGUGGGGAGGGGAGGUGACGGCAAACCAAAAGAAGAGGGGGAUAUAAAAACACCAAAGGCUUCGUGGGCACGAGUUUGACUGUGUUUGUGCUGGACUAAAGACACACAACGACAGAAGGGAACACACACGGACACACACUAGUCUUGAGCUGGGGUGUCGUGUGUUAUUUGACAGCGCGCUUUUACGCAGAAGGUGUGUGUGGAUACUCUUGCGCAAGAGCACCUCGUACACCCUGAACAGAGCUCAAAUGAGUUAGUCAGAGGAGGAACUUUAGAUCUUUAUCACACUGAAGAUGGUCUUAUAGUGAACUACACGUAAUCCUUGAAGACACAGUGGCAUUUGGAGAGGAUGACAGCACUUUGCGCAAUGCACCGGAGCGCAACAAUGUACCCGAAAUUUUAUAUUAGACGUGAUGGACAGACCACGAGGAUUUGAAGUGGUUUGAACUGGAGACUUUGUCGUUUUGUUUUAUUUUUAUUUUAAAACAAGAAGCAUGCUGCAGGUUCUCAGAAUUGUGUUCUUGUGCCAAUGUACCUGAUUUACCUGCGCACAAGUAAACCCCAGUAUUUCCUCAAUGAAGAAGUAAAACUUUUUAUCUCAACAUAUAGGCUAAUCUACUUUUGCAUUUUAUACUGAUGCUCAAUGGAAUGACACAGCUUUGGAGUUUGUGGGACUUACUUUCUUGCUUUUUAAAGGUAAUUCAAGUUCUUUUUGGACAUCGGGAUUAUAAAAUUCUUAAGAUCAGGAGCUAUAGAUCCCUCAUUGAUCUGAUCAGUUUUCAGACGUGGAGUGAUUGGGCUUCUUUGAGAUAAUUUCUAGCCAGUUACUCUUUUUCCCGUGAGUAUUGCUCUUCUGGACCCCGAGGUGGCUCCGCAGUGGUGUUGCGGCUCCUCGUCCGCGGCGGAUCCGGAGAUCGGAGUGUCUGCAGCGGCAGGAGGCGGCAGCGGAAGCCCGGCAGCAGCAGCGGCGCAGGGUCCUA